AUUGAACGCUGGCGGCAUGCCUUACACAUGCAAGUCGAACGGCAGCACGGGAGCAAUCCUGGUGGCGAGUGGCGAACGGGUGAGUAAUAUAUCGGAACGUGCCCAGUCGUGGGGGAUAACGCAGCGAAAGCUGUGCUAAUACCGCAUACGAUCUAAGGAUGAAAGCGGGGGAUCGCAAGACCUCGCGCGAUUGUAGGUGCCGAUAUCAGAUUAGCUAGUGGGUGGGGUAAAGGCCCACCAAGGCGACGAUCUGUAGCUGGUCUGAGAGGACGACCAGCCACACUGGAACUGAGACACGGUCCAGACUCCUACGGGAGGCAGCAGUGGGGAAUUUUGGACAAUGGGCGCAAGCCUGAUCCAGCAAUGCCGCGUGCAGGAUGAAGGCCUUCGGGUUGUAAACUGCUUUUGUACGGAACGAAACGGCCCUUUCUAAUACAGGGGGCUAAUGACGGUACCGUAAGAAUAAGCACCGGCUAACUACGUGCCAGCAGCCGCAGUAA
rnacentral:rRNA from 1 species